UUCAAAAUGAAAAUGUGGGUUUUAUUGUUCUUGAAAUUCAGAAAUUGCAUGUUAAUUUUGAGUUUUUUUUUAUUGGUGGGUUUCUUGCUUCUUUUGUUUCUAAAUGUUCAUUUGGCUUAUGAAUUUACUGUGUUUAUGUAAAACAAUUAUGACUAUUAUGUUGAAAAAUUGAGAUGAAUUUGUUGGAUUGCAAGUUUAGGAUUUAAAAACUCAAUUAGUUAAGACAUUUCUAGCUUCAACAUAUUGUGGAUUUACUGAUUUAAUUACAAUCAUUAAAUAGUUUUCUAAUUUAAUAAAGCUUCUAUUAUGUAGCACAACUGUGUUUGGAGUUUCCACAUAAUCUAUGCAACUAUCUUAUGAUUCUAAAGGGAAUAGUGUACCAACAAUUCUCUUGCUUAUGCAAGGCCACUUAUAUGCUCAAGGAGGCCUAAGGGCAGAAGGGAUCUUCAGGAUCAAUGUAGGAAAUAGUCAAGAGGAGAUUGUUUGGGAUGGCUAGGGAGAAGACUAUUUUCCAUGAAUUUUUUGGAAAAAAACAAUGGUUGGUAUGCAUUUAUAAAGUAGAAAUGAGGCAAUUUUUAGGAAAAAAACAAUGGUUGGAGCAGUCUCAGUUGAUGUCAAUGGAUCAUGUGAGAGGGGUAAAUGUUGCAAACUUAGCUGAUAUGGAGCAAAGUCGUAUGCUUGCUAAUACAUUAGCUCAGAACAAUGAUCCUAAAUUUCAUGUUUGUAAGCUAUGUUAUUGCAUGGGAAGAAAAGUAAAGCACGAGGUCCCUGAAGAUUGGGUCUGUGAAUCUGGGAAGAGAGAUGAAGCUGUCACAAUAGCAAUGAGCAAGGGGCAAUUGUCAAUUUCACAGCUUCAUUCCAAGAAGAAAAAGCCAGUAGAAAUUGGUAAAGUUAAGUUCAUUCCUCAUGAAGAAAUCCUUAAGCUAUCUUCAGAGACCUUCAAUGAGUCAAGAGAAAUAACUCGAACAAAAUGACAGCAUGUAUCUAGCAAAGUUGGAAUUUCAAAUAAAAAGAUAGAGAAGAAACUAGUCAAAGAACAAUGCACAUUGUUGCCAUCAUCACUUGAUGUUAGUGCAGGUGGUAAAACUAAGGAUGUUCAAGGAGACCUGCCAAAUUUCCCACUUAGUUUUACCUUGUAUAUCACAUAUUUUCCCGCUCCAGAUGUAACUUGGAAGUGGGUAACUUAUCCUUUAAUUUUAUUUCUUUAAUUAUUUUUUCUCUUACUUGAAAAUUCUUGAAUUUCUACUAAUAAUAAAAAAUUGUGAUGCUGUGAAAUCAUUCCUUGCUUGAAAAGAAAAAUGCUCAGGCAUUUUUUUUUGGUGUAGCACUCCUUGCUUUAAGGAAUACUCAAUGCUUCUUUGUGACUGACACUUGUGGUUGUAGUUUUGAUAGUUUUUCAUGAGGGCCUCUUUGCUGACUUUGUUGUUCUCUGUUUGUAGUUUUAUGUCUUAUAUGUACUAUCUUAGUCUGAGGCUGUCUAGACUGUAAUACAGUACAGGUGAUUUCUUAUCAUCUUUUUUUAAUACAAUCUUGUUUGGUUGGGAUUGAAAUGAUAGUGUUUAUGUGAGAAUAGAAAUAGAAUGGGAAAGAAAUAUCAAUUCUUUUGUGUGGUUGAAA